GUCUACGGCCAUAUCACCCUGAACAUGCCCGAUCUCGUCUGAUCUCAGAAGCUAAGCAGGGUCGGGCCUCGUUAGUACUUGGAUGGGAGAAACAGGCUGGGGGUACAGAUC
rfam:Erinaceus europaeus unplaced genomic scaffold scaffold00010, whole genome shotgun sequence